GCGCCCGUAGCUCAGUGGAUAGAGCGCCGGACUUCGAAUCCGUAGGCCGCAGGUUCAAGUCCUGCCGGGCGUG
rnacentral:tRNA from 1 species